UGGAAAAGUUAUCAAACAGUCUUUACUUUCGUAUUCAAUUACAAGUGUUCGCUAACGCAACAAACUCAAACGCAAAAAUGUUCAACCUUUUCAAAGUGCUCAUUGUCAUCGCCGCCUUGGUGUGCAUCGCUGCUGCCAACCCCAGCAUCGUGGGACCCGGCCUCGUCCACGGUCUUGGCUCAGCAGUAGUUGUGGGACCAGUCGGACCAGUCGG